CGCGCGCGCGAAGAUGGCGGCGGCCGCCGGCGGGCCGUGUGUGAGGAGCAGUAGAGAACUGUGGACUAUUCUGCUUGGAAGGUCAGCUCUGAGAGAGCUGAGUCAGAUUGAGGCAGAACUGAAUAAACAUUGGCGGCGAUUGUUAGAGGGACUUUCUUACUACAAACCUCCCAGUCCAAGUUCAGCUGAAAAAGUGAAAGCUAAUAAAGAUGUAGCUUCACCAUUGAAGGAACUGGGUUUAAGAAUCAGCAAGUUUUUGGGUCUUGAUGAAGAACAGAGUGUGCAGUUACUCCAGUGUUACCUGCAAGAGGACUACAGGGGUACUCGGAACUCAGUAAAGUACUACAAGAUGAGAGGCAGAGCCAGGCCUUAAUCCUGAAG
rnacentral:sRNA from 1 species